rnacentral:rRNA from 1 species
UACGUAGGGUGCGAGCGUUGUCCGGAAUUAUUGGGCGUAAAGAGCUCGUAGGCGGUGUGUCACGUCGGCCGUGAAAACCUGCAGCUUAACUGUGGGCGUGCGGUCGAUACGGGCAUCACUGGAGUUCGGCAGGGGAGACUGGAAUUCCUGGUGUAGCGGUGAAAUGCGCAGAUAUCAGGAGGAACACCGGUGGCGAAGGCGGGUCUCUGGGCAUUACCUGACGCUGAGGAGCGAAAGUGUGGGGAGCGAACAGG